UCCCCAUAUUAGGGACUUAUUUCAGUAACGGUGAUAACAAGGCAUAGACCACUAUGUUGAGGAUCAUCAAAGAGAUAUUAUCAAGUUUUAGACCCUUGAAAAAGCGGUUUUUGGUACCCUGAUUAAACCAGAGUCAGGGUCCCCUCUAGUGCGCUGAUCCACGCCCGAGUUGUGCCUUAGCUCUGUGCGUAUGCGCUGGUUUAGUUUGAAGUAUAUCGAGGCCUUCACUCACUCACUGUGUUGGGAUGCUUCCUCACUGAUUGUGGUGCAUUCUAUCUUCUCCUUUCCCCUCCUGCUCUUGCUUCCAUGUGACCUGUCUGUGUGUUGCCCUGUGUUUGUGCUGCUCAAGGGAGGGUUCAGGUCGCUACAGUGUGCUCCGUCGGGCCCUCUCUGCACCUUCACAGGGCCAGGCGGAGGACGUGUGUGACCGGUGGCUCCCCGUGUGGUUUCUCACUACUCCUCUUCCCCACCCCUCCCCCAUGUCAUUCCUCUCUCCCCUCCUGCUCCGUGUGGAUCAUGUCGCCCCUGUCCAGCCAUACUACACCAACAGGUCAGGCCUGCCCUCGGGGGCCGGGCCCCGG
ensembl:lncRNA